AAGUCGUAACAAGGUCUCCGUAGGUGAACCUGCGGAGGGAUCAUUAACACGUAUCCAAACGUAUCAAACCCAAACCGGUCUCAUAUCUCUCCCAUAGCGGUCAAUGGUGAUUCGCAAGCCAUAGGUGAAUUCUCCGUUUUGGUAAAACGAAGUGGAGACUGCUUGCAAUCUACAAUCCUUGAGGUUAAACUGUUCUGCUAUGGUGUAAACCCAAAGUCACCUGGCUAUUAGGCCACCCCUGUAAGUUGGGGGUUGGGGCUUGCCCCUCCCUCAAUGAACCAGGAGCCUCUUAGCCUUAUUGAUCCUUUUUAACCCCUUUUUUACAUAAUUACUACUGAACUUACUUCUCUAUGGACUUCGUGUCUAUAUUGAUGUAUACGAAAUUGUGAACAACUCUUAGCAACGGAUAUCUUGGUUCUC
rnacentral:misc_RNA from 1 species